rnacentral:rRNA from 1 species
GUAGUUGACGUCCGUGGCACGAGGACGACGCUGGCGGCGUGCUUAACACAUGCAAGUCGAACGCUGAAGCUUGGUGCUUGCACUGGGUGGAUGAGUGGCGAACGGGUGAGUAUCACGUGAGUAACCUGCCCCUGACUUCGGGAUAAGCCUGGGAAACUGGGUCUAAUACCGGAUAUGACCAUCUUUCGCAUGUUGGGUGGUGGAAAGUUUUCGGUUGGGGAUGGGCUCGCGGCCUAUCAGUUUGUUGGUGGGGUAAUGGCCUACCAAGACGACGACGGGUAGCCGGCCUGAGAGGGCGACCGGCCACACUGGGACUGAGACACGGCCCAGACUCCUACGGGAGGCAGCAGUGGGGAAUAUUGCACAAUGGGGGGAACCCUGAUGCAGCGACGCCGCGUGGGGGAUGACGGCCUUCGGGUUGUAAACCUCUUUCAGUAGGGAAGAAGCCUUUGGGUGACGGUACCUGCAGAAGAAGUACCGGCUAACUACGUG